rnacentral:ncRNA from 1 species
AGUCAAGCUAAUAAGGGCAUACGGUGGAUGCCUUGGCGCCAAGAGCCGAUGAAGGACGGGGUAAGCUCCGAUAAGCUAGGGGGAAUCGCAAGCAGGUUUUGAUCCCUAGAUUUCCGAAUGGGAAACCCAACAGUGGUAAUGCACUGUUACCCAUACCUGAGAGUAUGAGGAGGGCACCUGGGGAACUGAAACAUCUAAGUACCCAGAGGAAAAGUAAUCAAGUGAGAUUCCCUAAGUAGCGGCGAGCGAACGGGGAAGAGCCCAAACCGAGUCAGUUUACUGAUUCGGGGUUGAGGACCGGCAUAAUUCGAGUCAGGCUUAGUCGAACUACCUGGAAAGGUAGACCAUAGGGGGUAACAGUCCCGUAGACGAAAAGCAGAGCAAGAUGGCCGAGUUCCAGAGUACCACGAGACACGUGAAACCUUGUGGGAAGCAGGGGGGACCACCCUCCAAGGCAAAAUACUCCUUGGCGACCGAUAGCGUAUAGUACCGUGAGGGAAAGGUGAAAAGCACCCCGGGAGGGGAGUGAAAAAGAACCUGAAACCGUAUGUCUACAAGCAGUUGAAGACCCUUAUGUGGUCAACAGCGUGCCUAUUGAAGAAUGAACCGGCGAGUUACAGUAACUAGCGAGGUUAAGCAGAAGAUGUGGAGCCGCAGCGAAAGCGAGUCUUAAUAGGGCGAAUAGUUAGUUGUUGUAGACCCGAAACCGCAGUGAUCUAUCCAUGGCCAGGUUGAAGCGCAGGUAAAAUUGCGUGGAGGACCGAACUCGUGAACGUUGAAAAGUUUUGAGAUGAGUUGUGGAUAGGGGUGAAAUGCCAAUCGAACGCGGAGAUAGCUGGUUCUCCCCGAAAUAGCUUUAGGGCUAGCCUCAAGAAAUAAGUACAGACGGUAGAGCUCUGAUUGGGCUAGGGGCCUUAUAGGUUACCGAACUCUGUCAAACUGCGAAUGGCUGUACUCGGACCUUGGGAGUCAGACUGCGAGUGAUAAGACCCGUAGUCAAGAGGGAAACAGCCCAGACCAUCAGCUAAGGUCCCAAAUGCCGUACUAAGUGGCAAAGGAUGUGGAACUUCAGAAACAACCAGGAUGUUGGCUUAGAAGCAGCCACCAUUUAAAGAGUGCGUAAUAGCUCACUGGUCGAGAGGUUUUGCGCCGAAGAUGUCCGGGGCUAAAGUACGGAACCGAAGCUAUGGAUUUUAACUUUGUUACAAGUGGUAGGGGAGCGUUCUAUACGCUUUGAAGCAGUACCGUAAGGAGCUGUGGAGUAUAUAGAAGUGAGAAUGCCGGUAUGAGUAGCGAAAAGACAAGUGAGAAUCUUGUCCACCGAAAGCCUAAGGUUUCCUGAGCAACGCUCGUCGUCUCAGGGUAAGUCGGGGCCUAAGCCGAGGCGUAAAUGCGUAGGCGAUGGACAACUGGCAAACAUUCCAGUACCACCCACAUCCGUUUGAGUGAUGGAGUGACACAGAAGGGUAAGUAAUCGCAUGAAUGGAAGAAAUGCGUCUAAGCUUGUAGGGUGUUUAGUAGGCAAAUCCGCUAAACGUAUAGCCUGAGGAGUGACGGGGAGUUGCUAGCGAUAGCGAUGAACUUACUGAUCCCACACUGUCAAGAAAAGCUUCUAGCGAGGCUGUGGGUGCCCGUACCGCAAAC